GGAUUUCAAGGUGGGGUUGUUGUAAAGAUCCCAGCCCAGUCAGGUGUGCCAAACAGAGCAGAACAGUUGGCCAGGCAUAGCAGAUUCUGGAACAGCACAACUUGGCUCAGGUCUGAUGUAACCUGCUGCCAUUUCUAACAGCCAGUGUGGGAAAACGCAGGGGAGAGAGAAGAUGGAAGGUAGCACGGAGGGAUUCGAGGGUGUUUUGGGAGGGCUGGGAGCAAACGACUGAGGGAUAAGAAACCGAGAGAAGACAGAAGUGGGAGGAAUUAGAAGCAGCAGGAUGUAAUUGGCUGAUGGAGCCACACCCCACCACGUACCCCAUCGCCCAACCUAGGCAGGGGAGCCGUCCGACCUAGCCAACCGCCCUCCACCACCACCACCACCCCCACCCCCACGGGGGAGGGGGAAUUCAGCCACGACCAUCUGCAUCCCAGGCCCAUGGACCAGCGGCAGGGAUGAGUUGGAUCAGGGGGCCGUCCGCGUGGCAAGUGGGGAGACGUAAUUGGCCGAUGGAGCUCCGGUGUGUCUCAGCCUCCCCUGCAGCCGAGCCCCAAGCCACACACCGCCACAGACACACUUCCAGUUUGUGUGCUGUGUGAACAAGUAGCAUGGUUUCACUACUCGGAGACAGAUGAUGAUAGAGGAUCCUCUUCUGAGCAGGUGGCUGUGACGAACGCUUCUCCUUCAUCCUUCCCCUCAUUGAUUGUGUGCAACCCGCGGUGGUGCGAGGCAGAAGCACGGGCCUGUCAACCGUGAUGAUCGACAGAAUUGAAUUA